rnacentral:rRNA from 1 species
GGCGAGUGGCGAACGGGUGAGUAAUAUAUCGGAACGUGCCCAGUCGUGGGGGAUAACGUAGCGAAAGCUACGCUAAUACCGCAUACGAUCUAUGGAUGAAAGCGGGGGAUCGCAAGACCUCGCGCGAUUGGAGCGGCCGAUAUCAGAUUAGGUUGUUGGUGGGGUAAAAGCCUACCAAGCCUGCGAUCUGUAGCUGGUCUGAGAGGACGACCAGCCACACUGGAACUGAGACACGGUCCAGACUCCUACGGGAGGCAGCAGUGGGGAAUUUUGGACAAUGGGCGCAAGCCUGAUCCAGCAAUGCCGCGUGCAGGAUGAAGGCCUUCGGGUUGUAAACUGCUUUUGUACGGAACGAAACGGCUCUUUUUAAUACAAGGAGCUAAUGACGGUACCGUAAGAAUAAGCACCGGCUAACUACGUGCCAGCAGCCGCGGUAAUACGUAGGGUGCGAGCGUUAAUCGGAAUUACUGGGCGUAAAGCGUGCGCAGGCGGUUAUGUAAGACAGAUGUGAAAUCCCCGGGCUCAACCUGGGACCUGCAUUUGUGACUGCAUAGCUAGAGUACGGUAGAGGGGGAUGGAAUUCCGCGUGUAACAGUG